rnacentral:rRNA from 1 species
CAGUCGCCACGGGAAUACGGAGGGUGCAAGCGUUAAUCGGAAUUACUGGGCGUAAAGCGCACGCAGGCGGUUUGUUAAGUCAGAUGUGAAAUCCCCGGGCUCAACCUGGGAACUGCAUCUGAUACUGGCAAGCUUGAGUCUCGUAGAGGGGGGUAGAAUUCCAGGUGUAGCGGUGAGAUGCGUAGAUAUGUGGAGGAAUACCGAUGGCGAAGGCAGCCCCCUGGGAUAACACUGACGCUCAUGCACGAAAGCGUGGGGAGCAAACAGGAUUAGAUACCCCCGUAGUCCUGUCUCUUAUACA